CGGGUGAGUAACACGUGGAUAACCUACCUAUAAGGCUGGGAUAACUUCGGGAAACCGGAGCUAAUACCGGAUAAUAUAUUGAACCGCAUGGUUCAAUAGUGAAAGACGGUUUUGCUGUCACUUAUAGAUGGAUCCGCGCUGCAUUAGCUAGUUGGUAAGGUAACGGCUUACCAAGGCAACGAUGCGUAGCCGACCUGAGAGGGUGAUCGGCCACACUGGAACUGAGACACGGUCCAGACUCCUACGGGAGGCAGCAGCG
rnacentral:rRNA from 1 species